rnacentral:rRNA from 1 species
UACGUAGGGUGCGAGCGUUAAUCGGAAUUACUGGGCGUAAAGUGUGCGCAGGCGGCGCCGCAAGUCGAGUGUGAAAGCCCCGGGCUUAACUUGGGAAUUGCGCUCGAAACUAUGGUGCUGGAGUGUGGCAGAGGAAGGUGGAAUUCCACGUGUAGCGGUGAAAUGCGUAGAGAUGUGGAGGAACACCGAUGGCGAAGGCAGCCUUCUGGGCCAACACUGACGCUCAUGCACGAAAGCGUGGGGAUCAAACAGG